rnacentral:rRNA from 1 species
CCUACGGGAGGCAGCAGUGGGGAAUAUUGCACAAUGGGGGAAACCCUGAUGCAGCCAUGCCGCGUGUGUGAAGAAGGCCUUCGGGUUGUAAAGCACUUUCAGUGGUGAGGAAGGGUUGUAAGUUAAUACCUUGCAACAUUGACGUUA